AGGGCACCACCAGGAGUGGAGCCUGCGGCUUAAUUUGACUCAACACGGGAAAACUCACCCGGCCCGGACACUGGAAGGAUUGACAGAUUGAGAGCUCUUUCUUGAUUCAGUGGGUGGUGGUGCAUGGCCGUUCUUAGUUGGUGAAGUGAUUUGUCUGGUUAAUUCCGAUAACGAACGAGACUCUAGCCUACUAAAUAGAUCGUCGGCUUACAAACGCCGGCGAGACUUCUUAGAGGGACAGGCGGUGAUUCAACCGCACGAAACAGAGCAAUAACAGGUCUGUGAUGCCCUUAGAUGUCCGGGGCUGCACGCGCGCUACACUGAGGUGAUCAGCGUGCAAUUUACGUUUGGUGAUCUGUCAAGAUUGCCCAACCCGUUGAACCUUCUUCGUGAUUGGGAUAGGGGAUUGUAAUUAUUCCCCUUGAACGAGGAAUUCCCAGUAAGCGCAAGUCAUAAGCUUGCGUUGAUUACGUCCCUGCCCUUUGUACACACCGCCCGUCGCUACUACUGAUUGAAUGA
rnacentral:rRNA from 1 species